GCUGUUCCUAUAUAAACAAAGGCAGGCGGAGAUGGAGAGUGAACCCUAGUUUUCUUCUCUGCCUUAUGCUUCCAGUUCGAGAGUUGCUACUUUCAAUUUCCACUGUUUUUGUUGUUCUUAGCUGGUGAACUUGAGUUCUCCUUCGCUUCACGUUGCUGAAAGGUUUCUGAAUCUCCAAAGUAAUGCCGUCGGACGAUGAAAGGGAGGAGGUGGAGUUGGAUCUCUACUCUCCGGAUGUUGUUACAAACUACAAAAAUGUUGCCGAGAUCAUAAACGAGGCAAUGCAGCUGGUGAUAUCCGAAUGUAACCUAAUGUUAAAAUCGUUGACAUUUGCGAAGAAGGCGAUUUCUUUUCUCAGAGAGAAAACUAGCAACAUGUAUAAGAAUGUUCAGAUGAAGAUAGAACGGGCGUUGCCUUUCCAAUUUGCAUCUCUGAAACAAAACUGGCGGCCACUUUUCACCCCUAGUUAGCGAUGAAACAGUGAUGGAAGAAGGAAAUAUACUCAAGAUAUAAGCAACUAUAAUGCACUGGUUAUCAGGCAGCUUUGCCGAGGUGAUAUAGAACUUGGGGUUUGCCUCUUUUCCCUGUUGCUUAUAUUGUGUAUGUCAAAUUUGAGAUAAAAUAUAAAUUGUCACGAAAAUCUAUUGUGAUCUUAUGAUAGUGGGUGAAGUCUCUAUGGUUAAACAAUCCAUUUCCCCAUAACUGGAUUAUGAAGGCAACUUUGCCGAGGUAAUUUGUGACUUGUGGGUUACCUCUUUUCCCUGUUGCCUAUAUUGUGUAUGGUUAAUUUGGAAUUUUGUAGGUUGACAUCUUAUGUAUGAUGCCUAUGGUCUCAAUUGUCCAAAUUACAUACGAAAUAUACUGCCAUGAUAAUCUCUUGUGAUGUCUUAUGAUAGUGGCUAGAGUUUAUAUUAUUAACAAAAAGAUAUGCUUUCCCUCAACUAGAUGAAGGCAACUUUGCCGAGGUAAUUUGUCACUUGUGGGUUACCUCUUUUCCCUGUUGCCUACAUUGUGUAUGGUUAAUUUGGGAUUUUGUAGGUUGACAUUCCAUGGAUGAUGCCUAUGGUCUCAAUUGUCCAAAAUACAUACAAAACAUAUUGCCGUGAUAAUCUCUUGUGAUGUCUUAUAGUAGUGGCUAGAGUUUAUAUGCUUAACAAAAGUUUCCCUGUACUAGAUGAAGGCAACUUUGCCGAGGUAAUUUGUAACUUGUGGGUUACCUCUUUUCCCUGUUGCCUAGAUUGUGUAUGGUUAAUUUGGGGUUUUAUAGGUUGACAUUUCAUGGAUGAUGCCUAUGGUCUCAAUUUGUCCAAAAUACAUACAAAACAUAUUCCCAUGAUAAUCUCUUGUGAUGUCUUAUAGUAGUGGCUAGAGUUUAUAUGAUGAACAAAAGAUAUGUUUUCCCUGAACUAGAUGAAAGGCAACUUUGCCGAGGUAAUUUGUAACUUGUGGAUUACCUCUUUUCCCUGUUGCCUAGAUUGUGUAUGGUUAAUUUGGGGUUUUAUAGGUUGACAUUUCAUGGAUGAUGCCUAUGGUCUCAAUUGUCCAAAAUACAUACAAAACAUAUUGCCGUGAUAAUCUCUUGUGAUGUCUUAUAGUAGUGGCUAGAGUUUAUAUGCUUAACAAAAGUUUCCCUGUACUAGAUGAAGGCAACUUUGCCGAGGUAAUUUGUAACUUGUGGGUUACCUCUUUUCCCUGUUGCCUAGAUUGUGUAUGGUUAAUUUGGGGUUUUAUAGGUUGACAUUUCAUGGAUGAUGCCUAUGGUCUCAAUUUGUCCAAAAUACAUACAAAACAUAUUCCCAUGAUAAUCUCUUGUGAUGUCUUAUAGUAGUGGCUAGAGUUUAUAUGAUGAACAAAAGAUAUGUUUUCCCUGAACUAGAUGAAAGGCAACUUUGCCGAGGUAAUUUGUAACUUGUGGAUUACCUCUUUUCCCUGUUGCCUAGAUUGUGUAUGGUUAAUUUGGGGUUUUAUAGGUUGACAUUUCAUGGAUGAUGCCUAUGGUCUCAAUUGUCCAAAAUACAUACAAAACAUAUUCCCAUGAUAAUCUCUUGUGAUGUCUUAUAGUAGUGGCUAGAGUUUAUAUGAUGAACAAAAGAUAUGUUUUCCCUGAACUAGAUGAAAGGCAACUUUGCCGAGGUAAUUUGUAACUUGUGGAUUACCUCUUUUCCCUGUUGCCUAGAUUGUGUAUGGUUAAUUUGGGGUUUUAUAGGUUGACAUUUCAUGGAUGAUGCCUAUGGUAUCAAUUGUCCAAAUUACAUACAAAAUAUAUUGCCAUGAUAAUCUCUUGUGAUGUCUUAUAAUAGCACCUGGAGUUUAUAUUAUGAACAAAUGAUGUGCUUUCCCAUAACCAAAUAAUGAAGGCAACUUUGCCGAGGUGAUCUGUGACUUGUGGAUUACCUCUUUUCCCUGUUGCCUAUAGUGUGAAUGGUAAAAUUUGGUAUAUCAUAGGCUGAUUUCCAUGGAUGAUGCCUAUGUCCCAAUUGUCCAAAUUGUUGUAAGAUAUACAUUCUGAUGAUAUUCUCCUGUGAUGUCUUAUACUAAUGUGUAGACUUUCUAUUAUUAAUCAAUAAUCUGUUUCCCCAUAACUUGGAAUCACAUUUAGUGAUAAUUUGAAGCCUUUAGACUCACAGUUAUGCUGUUGGAGUUUUGGUUAGUGCUUAAAAUAUCGUUAUGUUGUGUAAAUAGUUUUUUAGUGCUCUUAUUCCUUCAAUUUUGUGGCAAAUAGUGGUUGUCUCUUAUGUUUUCUAUCUCUGCUUGUUUGACCAAGAGCCCUACAUGAUGAAUACUUUAUGGAAGCUAUGGAAUGUAUUCCAAAUGAGGCUUUUGUCAUAGUUACUCUGAUAGGGCAUGCUACUUUUUCAGGCAAUCUAUUGUUUUUUAACCAUCUUUAUUGACAUCAUAAGUUGCUAUCAUAUCAUGUGUAAUGUUAUUGGGCUUGGUUUAUACGUAGUUGAAUGUUUUGUGAUUUAUAAAUGCCUUCUUUCUUGUGGAGUUUUCAUUUUUUUUCAUUGAAUACGAGACGGGUUUCUAUUGGCUAAUUGAAUCCUCUUUGGGACUAGUUGAAUGUGUUAAUCACGAUCUGCUGCAAACCUAUCCUGUCUAUUAUAAGCCUGGUAGCAUUUUUUUCCUCCUUUGAAAUUAAUUUUAAUUUUGUUUCAGGUGUAGUUUGUAUGGUUCAUUUGCUCCUCGUGCAAUUGGUUACUUUGCAGGCGAUCACAUUGCCCACAUUAAAUAUACAGUCUUACUAAUGCCUAAUGGAUCUGAUCGAAUUACUUCUCAUGCAAUGCAACAACUUCAGCCCACAAAAAGCUGGUGAUGAUCCGGAAAUUAAGACCUGGUUAUCCCACAAAAACUGUUGAUGAUUCGGAAAUUAAGACCUGGUUAUCCCACAAAAACUGUUGAUGAUUCGGAAAUUAAGACCUGGUUAUCCCACAAAAACUGUGGACUCCAUUGUUAGCAUGCAUGAUUAGAAGAUUAUUGAACCAAGUUUUCUUAACAGGCUGGGCUAAUGGAUUCAACAUCGCAGGAAUGGAAUGAAUUACUCCUUUUGAUCUGCUUCCUCCUUUCCAUCCUUUCAAUUAUGGCACUGUUUUCUUCUUUUGAUUGUAUGUUUAACAGAACUUAUCUUUAACUGUGUGGGGAAGCCUACUCAAAAGUCCAAAGAGACUGUACUUCUAGCGAUUGGCUUGGAUUGAUACACUUGUUCAAUGUAGAAUUUUAGACACUAAAUUACGUCUUCAUGUA